AGCGAACGCUGGCGGCAGGCCUAACACAUGCAAGUCGAACGAACCUUUCGGGGGUAGUGGCGGACGGGGGAGGAACACGUGGGAACGUGCAUAUAGGGUCGGAAUAACUCAGGGAAACGUGUGCUAAUACCGAAUGGGCCCUUCGGGGGGAAGAUUUAUCGCCUUUAGAGCGGCCCGCGUCUGAUUAGCUAGUUGGGUGAGGUAAUGGCUCACCAAGGCGACGAUCAGUAGCUGGUCUGAGAGGCUGAUCAGCCACAUUGGGACUGUGACACGGCCCAGACUCCUACGGGAGGCAGCAGUGGGGAAUCUUGCGCAAUGGGCGAAAGCCUGACGCAGCCAUGCCGCGUGAAUGAUGAAGGUCUUAGGAUUGUAAAAUUCUUUCACCGGGGACGAUAAUGACGGUACCCGGAGAAGAAGCCCCGGCUAACUUCGUG
rnacentral:rRNA from 1 species